rnacentral:rRNA from 1 species
UACGUAGGUGGCGAGCGUUGUCCGGAAUUACUGGGUGUAAAGGGCGCGUAGGCGGGACAUUAAGUCAGAUGUGAAAUACCAUGGCUCAACCAUGGGGCUGCAUCUGAAACUGGUGUUCUUGAGUGCAGGAGAGGGGAGUGGAAUUCCCAGUGUAGCAGUGAAAUGCGUAGAUAUUGGGAGGAACACCGGUGGCGAAGGCGACUCUCUGGACUGUAACUGACGCUGAGGCGCGAAAGCGUGGGGAGCGAACAGG